ACUGGCUUAGUAUAAGUUACAUUACGUUAGACUGUAAAUCUUUUAAUAGUUGAYACUAGCCAGAA
rnacentral:tRNA from 1 species